GGCGCCGUGGCUUCAGUUGGUUAAAGCGCGCUGUCAGAAACAGGGAGAUCACGAGUUCGAAUCUCGUCCCGGUGUCU